GGUAGCUAGGUAGCUAGCUAUAUAGCUAGCUAGCUAGCUAGCUAGCUAGGUAGCUAGCUAUAUAGCUAGCUGUCUAGCUAGC
rnacentral:pre_miRNA from 9 species